AUUGAACGCUGGCGGCAUGCUUUACACAUGCAAGUCGGACGAGUGGCGAACGGGUGAGUAACAUAUCGGAACGUCACGAGUAAUGGGGGAUAACUAAUCGAAAGAUUAGCUAAUACCGCAGAUUAUUCGAACGGCCGAUAUCUGAUUCGCUGGUUGGUUGGGUCAAGGCAUACCAAGGCGACGAUCAGUAGCGGGUCUGAGCGGAUGAUCCGCCACACUGGGACGGCGACACGGCCCAGACUCCGACGGGAGGCAGCAGUGGGGAAUGUUGGACAAUGUGCGCAAGCCUGAUCCAGCCAUGCCGAGUGUCUGAAGAAGACCUACGGGUUGUAAAGGACUUUUGUCAGGGAAGCGGUACCUGAAGAAUAAGCACCGGCUAACUACGUGCCAGCAGCCGCGGUAAUUC
rnacentral:rRNA from 1 species